rnacentral:rRNA from 1 species
AGUGAACGCUGGCGGCGUGCCUAAUACAUGCAAGUCGAACGGAGUGGCGCACGGGUGAUUCAUAUAUAGCUAAUCUGCCCCUUGCUGGAGGACCCCAGUUAGGAAUGACUUCUAAUACUCCAUAGAAAGGGAUGAGACUAUAUCGUAUCAGAUAGUCGGUGGGGUAACGGCCUACCGAGGCUAUGACGCGUAACUGGUCUGAGAGGAUGAUCAGUAACAUGGGAAGUGAGCCACGGUCGAAACUCCUACGGGAGGGAGCAGUAGGGAAUAUUGCGCAAUGGGGGAAACCCUGACGCAGCAACGCCGCGUGGAGGAUGACACUUUUCGGAGCGUAAACUCCUUUUGUUAGGGAAGCGGUACCUAACGAAUAAGCACCGGCUAACUCCGUGCCAGCAGCCGCGGUAAUAC